GGAUGCGGUCAUACUAGCACUAAAGCACCGGAUCCCAUCAGAACUCCGAAGUUAAGCGUGCUUGGGCGAGAGUAGUACUAGGAUGGGUAACCAACUGGGAAGUCCUCAUGUUGCAUUCC
rnacentral:rRNA from 1 species